GGGAACAUGGAGGCCAGAGGCCUGCCUUCGCAAGGAGGCUCCCGGGACCAACGGCGCUUUCCCUUCCAGGCCUAGCCAACUCCAUGGCCUCUCAUAAGGCUUCCCCUUCUCCCGCCUCCUUCUCUACUCCAGCUGUGUUCUUCGGGAGUACACAAGGGCCCGGAAUUGAAGCUCCUCAUUGAGGGAUUGGGUGGCAUAGCCCAGGAACCUGGCCAGGGUAAAAAUUGGAGGUCGGAUGUCAGAGAAUCCAG